rnacentral:rRNA from 1 species
UUUGCCCCCCCCCUUUUAACACGGACCAAGGAGUCUAACAUGUACGCGAGUCAUUGGGACCGCAUACCUAAAGGCAAAAUGAAAGUGAAGGUCGACCUCGCGUCGACCGAGGGAGGAUGGGUCGCGUUACGAUGCGACCCCGCACUCCCGGGGCGUCUCGUUCUCAUUGCGAGAAGAGGCGCACCCAGAGCGUACACGUUGGGACCCGAAAGAUGGUGAACUAUGCCUGGUCAGGACGAAGUCAGGGGAAACCCUGAUGGAGGUCCGUAGCGAUUCUGACGUGCAAAUCGAUCGUCGGAACUGGGUAUAGGGGCGAAAGACUAAUCGAACCAUCUAG